rnacentral:rRNA from 1 species
UGCCAGACUCCUACGGGAGGCAGCAGUGGGGAAUAUUGCGCAAUGGGGGAAACCCUGACGCAGCAACGCCGCGUGAGUGAGGAAGUAUCUCGGUAUGUAAAGCUCUAUCAGCGGGGAAGAAAGAGGACGGUACCCGACUAAGAAGCCCCGGCUAACUACGUGCCAGCAGCCGCGGGAAUACGUAGGGGGCGAGCGUUAUCCGGAUUCACUGGGUGUAAAGGGAGCGUAGACGGCCAUGCAAGCCAGGGGUGAAAGCCCGGGGCCCAACCCCGGGACUGCCCUUGGAACUGCAUGGCUGGAGUGCGGGAGGGGCAGGCGGAAUUCCUGGUGUAGCGGUGAAAUGCGUAGAUAUCAGGAGGAACACCGGCGGCGAAGGCGGCCUGCUGGACCGCGACUGACGUUGAGGCUCGAAAGCGUGGGGAGCGAACAGGAUUAGAUACCCGAGUA